AGGAUUAACGCUGGCGGCGUGCCUAACACAUGCAAGUCGAACGAGGUAGCAAUACCUAGUGGCAGACGGGUGAGUAACGCGUGGUCAACCUACCGUUGAGUGGGGGAUAACUAGCCGAAAGGUUAGCUAAUACCGCAUACGAGUCUCGGGGGCAUCCCUGGGCCUUAAAAGGAGCAAUCCGCUCGAUGACGGGACCGCGUCCCAUUAGCUAGAUGGUGGGGUAACGGCCUACCAUGGCACCGAUGGGUAGCUGGUUUGAGAGAGCGACCAGCCACACUGGGACUGAGAAACGGCCCAGACUCCUACGGGAGGCAGCAGUGAGGAAUUUUCCGCAAUGGGCGAAAGCCUGACGGAGCGACGCCGCGUGUGGGAAGAAGGGCCUUCGGGUCGUAAACCGACUGGUCGAAGGGGACGAGUAAUGACGGUACCCUUGGAGGAAGCCCGGCUAACGUACGCGCCAGCAGCCGC
rnacentral:rRNA from 1 species